rnacentral:rRNA from 1 species
CUAAUACAUGCAAGUCGAGCGGACAGAAGGGAGCUUGCUCCCGGAUGUUAGCGGCGGACGGGUGAGUAACACGUGGGUAACCUGCCUGUAAGACUGGGAUAACUCCGGGAAACCGGAGCUAAUACCGGAUAGUUCCUUGAACCGCAUGGUUCAAGGAUGAAAGACGGUUUCGGCUGUCACUUACAGAUGGACCCGCGGCGCAUUAGCUAGUUGGUGAGGUAACGGCUCACCAAGGCGACGAUGCGUAGCCGACCUGAGAGGGUGAUCGGCCACACUGGGACUGAGACACGGCCCAGACUCCUACGGGAGGCAGCAGUAGGGAAUCUUCCGCAAUGGACGAAAGUCUGACGGAGCAACGCCGCGUGAGUGAUGAAGGUUUUCGGAUCGUAAAGCUCUGUUGUUAGGGAAGAACAAGUGCAAGAGUAACUGCUUGCACCUUGACGGUACCUAACCAGAAAGCCACGGCUAACUACGUGCCAGCAGCCGCGGUAAUACGUAGGUGGCAAGCGUUGUCCGGAAUUAUUGGGCGUAAAGGGCUCGCAGGCGGUUUCUUAAGUCUGAUGUGAAAGCCCCCGGCUCAACCGGGGAGGGUCAUUGGAAACUGGGAAACUUGAGUGCAGAAGAGGAGAGUGGAAUUCCACGUGUAGCGGUGAAAUGCGUAGAGAUGUGGAGGAACACCAGUGGCGAAGGCGACUCUCUGGUCUGUAACUGACGCUGAGGAGUUUUUUUACCACCAAC